rnacentral:pre_miRNA from 1 species
AAAGUACUCCCUCCGUCCCAAAAUUCUUGUCUUAGAUUUGUCUAGAUACGGAUGUAUCAAGUCACAUUUUAGUAUUAGAUGCAUCCGUAUCUAGACAAAUCUAAGACAAGAAAUUUGGGACAGAGGGAGUAGUUG